rnacentral:rRNA from 1 species
CCCUACGGGAGGCAGCAGUGGGGAAUAUUGCACAAUGGGGGAAACCCUGAUGCAGCGACGCCGCGUGAGCGAUGAAGUAUUUCGGUAUGUAAAGCUCUAUCAGCAGGGAAGAAAAUGACGGUACCUGACUAAGAAGCCCCGGCUAACUACGUGCCAGCAGCCGCGGUAAUACGUAGGGGGCAAGCGUUAUCCGGAUUUACUGGGUGUAAAGGGAGCGUAGACGGCUGUGCAAGCCAGAUGUGAAAGCCCGGGGCUCAACCCCGGGACUGCAUUUGGAACUGUGUGGUUGGAGUGUCGGAGAGGCG